rnacentral:rRNA from 1 species
UAGCAAUACAAGGCAGACGGCUCAGUAACGCGUAGUCAAUCUACCCUAUGGACGGGAAUAACCUCGGGAAACUGAGAAUAAUGCCCGAUAGAACAUUAUGCCUGGAAUGGUUUAUGUUUCAAAUGAUUUAUCGCCAUAGGAUGGGACUGCGGCCUAUCAGUUUGUUGGUGAGGUAAUGGCCCACCAAGACUAUUACAGGUACGGGCUCUGAGAGGAGUAGCCCGGAGAUGGGUACUGAGACACGGACCCAGGCCCUAUGGGGCGCAGCAGGCGAGAAAACUUUGCAAUGUGCGAAAGCACGACAAGGUUAAUCCGAGUGGUUUCUGCUAAAGAAACCUUUUGUCAGUCCUAGAAACACUAACGAAUAAGGGGUGGGCAAGUUC